CCUACGGGAGGCAGCAGUGGGGAAUAUUGCACAAUGGGGGAAACCCUGAUGCAGCGACGCCGCGUGAGUGAAGAAGUAUUUCGGUAUGUAAAGCUCUGUCAGCAGGGAAGAAAAUGACGGUACCUGACCAAGAAGCCCCGGCUAACUACGUGCCAGCAGCCGCGGUAAUACGUAGGGGCCAAGCGUUAUCCGGAUUUACUGGGGGUAAAGGGAGCGAAGACGGAGGGGCAAGUCUGGAGUGAAAGGCGGGGGCUCAACCCCCGGACUGCUCUGGAAACUGCCAGGCUGGAGUGCAGGAGAGGUAAGUGGAAUUCCUAGUGUAGCGGUGAAAUGCGUAGAUAUUAGGAGGAACACCAGUGGCGAAGGCGGCUUACUGGACUGUAACUGACGUUGAGGCUCGAAAGCGUGGGGAGCAAACAGGAUUAGAUACCCUUGUAGUC
rnacentral:rRNA from 1 species